rnacentral:rRNA from 1 species
GGAGGUAGUGACAAUAAAUCACAAUGCGGGACUUCAUGUCUUGCAAUUGAAUUGAGAACAAUGUACAACACUUAUCGAUCAACUAUUGGAGGGCAAGUCUGGUGCCAGCAGCCGCGGUAAUUCCAGCUCCAAUAGCGUAUAUUAACGUUGUUGCAGUUAAAAAGCUCGUAGUUGAAGUGUGGAUGUGACUGUCGUAUGUCUUCGGACUGUCGGCACGAAUCAUCCCCUUCCAGUGUUCACGCAUGGGUAUUAACUUAUUUGUGCGUGGGUAUUGGUCCUUUACUGUGAGAAAAUUAGAGUGUUCAAAGCAGACGUUUGUUUGAAUACAUUAGCAUGGAAUAAUAAUUGAAGGCUUUCGUGUUCGAUUUGAUUGGUUUGUUCAUGGAAGCAAGAUUAAAAGGAGCAGUUGGGGGUAUUCAUAUUCAAUAGUUAGAGGUGAAAUUCUCGGAUUUAUGGAAGAUGAACAAGUGCGAAAGCA